AGAGUUUGAUUAUGGCUCAGGAUGAACGCUAGCGACAGGCUUAACACAUGCAAGUCGAGGGGCAGCGGGGAGGUAGCAAUACUUCCGCCGGCGACCGGCGCACGGGUGAGUAACACGUAUGGAACCUGCCCGUAGCAGGGGGAUAAGCGGAAGAAAUUCCGUCUAAUACCGCGUAAUAACUCCGAGAGGCAUCUCUUGGGGUUUAAAGGGUAACACCGGCUACGGAUGGCCAUGCGGCGCAUUAGCUAGUUGGCGGGGUAACGGCCCACCAAGGCGACGAUGCGUAGGGGUUCUGAGAGGAAGGUCCCCCACACUGGUACUGAGACACGGACCAGACUCCUACGGGAGGCAGCAGUGAGGAAUAUUGGUCAAUGGGCGCGAGCCUGAACCAGCCAAGUCGCGUGAGGGAAGACGGUCCUAUGGAUUGUAAACCUCUUUUGUCGGGGAGCAAAAGGCGCCACGUGUGGCGUUCCGAGAGUACCCGAAGAAAAAGCAUCGGCUAACUCCGUGCCAGCAGCCGCGGUAAUACGGAGGAUGCGAGCGUUAUCCGGAUUUAUUGGGUUUAA
rnacentral:rRNA from 1 species